rnacentral:lncRNA from 1 species
GUCAUUGGCCACACUGAUGCCACCAGUGCCUUGAAAGAGAAGAUUUUGAAAAGAAAACUACUGCUCAGUAAGAGGAAGUUAUCAUGCCGAUUCCCUGGCCUUCAUGCUCAGACAGAGAUAUUAAGAUCUGCUGGAAAGAUGCUACUAAUUUGAAUGAAAUGAUUUUUUUUGAAAAGUACCUUCUCUACCUGACCAAAAAAAAAAAAAAAAGUAUAAAACAACAGUUCAAGUCAAAGUCCAAACAGACCCUCGGAGCCAUUCAUCCCUGGGAAUCAAUGUCACAACUACCAGCCGCUUCUUAUUUUUAGUCCAAAAGUGUAUAUGGAUUGGAAAAAUCAUCUUCUUUCCAUCUUCAAAUGUGAUUACUACUUUGGGGGACCAAUGCCAAAUUUGACAAAUAUCAGUGUCCUUAAUCCUUGCUCCUUUCCACCCCAACUAUUUGUAACUGGAGGAAGGAGCAGGUGGAAGAAACAUGUCAAAUUGGACAUCUUUUGACAGCAGAUGGGAUUGCUAGGAAGCACACAGCAUUAACUAUGCUGUGGCCUUGCUCAAAAGUUUUAACUUGAAUUUAAUCUGGAG